rnacentral:rRNA from 1 species
GUUGCCAUCGGGCGAGCCGGGCACUCUGGAGGGACUGCCGGCGACAAGCCGGAGGAAGGUGGGGAAUGGACGUCAAGUCAUCAUGGCCCUUAUGUCCAGGGCGGACACACGUGCUACAAUGGCCGGCACAGCGGGAAGCGGAGGGGCGACCCUGAGCGGAUCCCUUGAAAGCCGGUCCCAAUUCGGAUUGCAGUCUGCAACUCGACUGCAUGAAGUUGGAAUCGCUAGUAAUCGCGGAUCAGCCAAGCCGCGGUGAAUACGUUCCCGGGCCUU